rnacentral:rRNA from 1 species
GCGACCUCAGCUCAGAAAAGAACACCCACUGAGUUUAAGCAUAUAAUUAAGUAGAGGAAAAGAAACUUACAAGGAUCCCCUAGUAGCGCCGAGCGAACCAGGAAGAGCCCAACAUGAAAAUUGGGUGGUAGCAUCACCUAAAUUGUAGUCUGUAGAAGCGUCCUCAGCAGUGGACCUGGGCCAAGUCCCUUGGAAGGGGGCGCCUAAGAUGGUGACAGCCUCAUCGGGCUAGGACCCUGCUACAUCACGAGGCAUUGUCACUGAGUCGGGUUGUUUGGGAAUGCAGCCCUAAUUGGGUGGUAAAUUCCAUCCAAGGCUAAAUAUGGGUGAGAGACUGAUAGUGAAUAGGUAUGCGAGGGAAAGAUGAAAAUUACUUUGAAGAGAGAGUUAAAGAGUGCCUGAAAUUGCCGGGAGGGAAGCAGAUGGAGGUUGACAAUGCAUCUCGAUCAGAUGUUGAAUGGCUCAGGCUGGUCCACGGUCGACUUGAGGUGAAAACCAACACAGGCUGUAGCAUCGUCACAAGCGCGGGUAGAUUAUUGCCUAUCAGUUUUUCAUUGCAGUGGUCGAGGAACAAAGUGUGCGCCCUUGUGGUGGGCCGUGUGCACCUGUCAGCUCGUGGUGUUGAUUGGUGGGCUUUCCACUCUACUCAUCUUGAAACACAGACCAAGGAGUCUAACAUGUGUGCGAGUCAACAGUUGGAAAACCUAUGAGGUACAAGGACGCCGAUGAGUGAGAUCCCCUCUCUGAGGGGGUUCAUCGUCAACCAACCUUGAGCUUAUACGAAGGGUUCGAGUGUGAGCACACCUGUUGGGACCCGAAAGAUGGUGAACUAUGCCUGAGUAGGGCGAAGCCAGAGGAAACUCUGUUGGAGGCUUGUAGCGAUACUGACGUGAAAAUCAUUUGUCUGACUUGGGUAUAGGGGAAAAAGACUAAUCGAACCAUCUAGUAGCUAGUUUCCUCCGAAGUUUCCCUCAGGAUAGCUGGAGCUCACGCACGAGUUUUAUCAGGUAAAGAAAAUGAUUAGAGGCAUCGGGGGCAUAACGCCCUUGAACUAUUCUCAAACUUUAAACAAGUAAGAGGGUGUGGCUACUCCAUUGAGUCGCAUCGUGGAAUUGAGAGCUCCAAGUGGGCCAUUUGUGGUAUGUAGAACUAGCGAUUCAAGAUGAACCAAAAGUCAAGUUACAGUGUCGAAUUUCAUGCUAACCUAGAUCCCACAAAGGGUGUUAGUUGAUUAAGACCGCAGGACGGUGGUCAUGGAAGUCAAAAUCUACUAAGGAGUGCGUAAGAACUCACCUGUUGAAUCAAAUAGUGCCGAAAAUGGAUGGUGCUGAAGUGCACAACCUAUACUCAACCAUUGGAGCAAUUGUCUAGCUCCAAUGAGUAAGAGGAUGUGGGGGUAAUUGAGAAACCUCGGGCCCGAGCUUGGGUACAUCGGCCCCCAGUGCAGAUAUUGGCCAAAUGCCUCAUCAUCUAAUUAGUGACAUGCUUGAAUGGAUUAACGAGAUUCCCACGAUCCUUAUCUGCUAUCUAGCGAAACCACAGUCAAGGGAACAAGCUUGGCAGAAUCAGCGGGGAAAGAAGACCCUAUUGAGCUUGGCUCUAGUAUGACUUUGUGAAAUGACUUGAGAGGUGUAGAAUAAGUGGGAGCCAUUUUUGGUGCAAGUGAAAUACCACUACUUUUAAUGUUAUUUUACUUAUUCCAUGGGACAGAGAUGGGGCACAACCCCUGUUUUUGGCCUUAAGGCACGUUUCGAUGGGUUGAUCCGCACAAAAGACAUUGUCAGGUGGGGAGUUUGGUUGGGGCAACACAUUUGUUAAAAGAUAACGCAGGUGUCCUAAGGUGAGCUCAAUGAGAAUAGAAAUCUCAUGUGGAAGAAAAGGGUAAAAGCUCAUUUGAUUUUGAUUUUCAGUACGAAUACAAACUGUGAAAGUGUGGCCUAUCGAUCUUUUAGAUUUUCAAAAUUUGAAGCUAGAGGUGUCAGAAAAGUUACCACAGGGGUAACUGGCUUGUGGCAGCCAAGUGUUCAUAGCAACGUUUUUUUUUAUCCUUCGAUGUCAUCUCUUCCUGUCAUUGUGAAGUAGAAUUCACCAAGUGUUGGAUUGUUCACCCACCAAUAAGGAACUGUUGGGUUUAGACCCUCAUGAGACAGGUUAGUUUUACCCUACUGAUGAACCACACUACAAUAGUAAUUCAACUUAGUAUGAGAGGAACCAUUGAUUCAUACAAUUGGUCAUCAUGCUUGGUUGGAAAGCCAGUGGGGCGAAGCUACCAUGUGUCAGAUUAUGAUUGAACACCUCUAAGUCAGAACCCAUGCUAGAAGCGGUGCAUGUCACUCUUUAACUGUAUCUCGACCCAUAGUAGGGGCAUCACUUUGUCACCCCUAGGGGCCUGUGUCAUUUGUAAACCAUGACCAUGGAGCAUCUCGGUCGGGGUAGCUUUGAAGUUCAAUUCCAAACAGUCGUUGAGAAGAAU